GCAGAGCUCACGGUUUUGCGACAGUGUGAGCCGCUUGACGGUAAACAUCAGUGAAGAGCGCGCAGCAGCGCCUCGCGCGUCAGGAGCGAGUAUUUGGCCACAAACAAAGAAACAUUGCUGCCAAAAACAGGAUUUUGGCUGCAGUUACAUCAGAUGAACACACGGGGGCGGCCGAGCUCCAUUAUUCACCAGAACGAGAGGCAAUCUAUAGUUCGUUCACAAUCAGCACGUGUAGCUUGAACCCGAUGAAGAGCUUCAAACGAUAAGACGCAGCUUCGACUCAGUGGAUGACAGGUUUGCAGUCAGAUUUGUCCCAGCGCUCGAGAAUCACAGCUUUAUUAGGUCUACUUUUACAGUCUUCCCAGCUAACAAAUCCCCAGGAAGCAGACAUUGAGUUGAAGCAUGAGAG
rnacentral:lncRNA from 1 species